GGCGUGGAGUCGUCGCUCAGGGUGGAUUCCUAGACAGGAGGGAGUGCAUGCUGCUGAGGAGAAAGCUUGCCCCCAGCCCAAGGGGGGGACCCCCAGUCCACCC